CGGAAAGUAGCUAGACAUAUGUAUGAAGACAUAUUCUAGACAGGUUAACUAUUUAUUAACAACCCUGGAGACUCCGCUCAUUGCAGCACCAUCAUCACAUCAGCUCAACCUGCACAUUUAGAAAACAUAUGCAGGGCUGAGUACAAAAGCACUCAGUGGGCACGUAUGCCUAGGUAUAAAAAUACAUACUUCAAAACUGUAAAUUGUCAUGCCAUCAUAAUCAGUACAGCAAGGGAGUUUUUCGCUAAAAAGGCCCAAGCUUACUAAGUUCAUUUGUGAUUUCUUAAAGUUCGUCUGAUCAGACUAAGUUCUUUUGUAAUCUAUCAUAUCUGAAACUGUGUGCCGGAGAGGUGGCCACCUCUCACGGUCACUUGACCGGCCAACCCGCUAGAUGACUCACGGUCACUGGUGUACACUAGCCCUGGCAGGAUAGCUAUCAACUGCUCAGGACCCGAAUUCGAUUGCAUCAUUGGCAAAGCCAAAGCAGAUAGAUAUCAUACUAAAAUUUAAACAUUUUAUGGCAAGACAAUACUUGAAAUAACUUUAACUCAAAUAUUUUGUAACGAAAUAACUUGCUCAAAUGUAACAUUAAACUCAUUUGAUAGAUAUAUAUAAAACUGAAAUUAACAGUUAAAUCAUCUCAUGCAUUCAUUCGUAUAAGAGGCCUACGACACGCAGGGGAUCUCUAUAUACGUAUAGUAAAAGUAAUGCCCACCUCGUUGUGUCUCUGUAUCAAUGAGUAACGUCACUCUCUCCCUCAAGUCGUUACUUCCCAAAAGGACCUUCAUCGUUAUGAAGAAUUGGUGAGAAGUUAUAAAAGAAACCUCGAUUAAUAAUCUAAUUUCUUUUAUGAAACAUUAGUAUCUCUAAUGUUCAUCUCUCUUGAUUGUUAAUCAAUAUAACAAUUAUUAUCUCUCGUCAUUACUCAUUAAUUAUAACAUCCUUAUGUUAUAAUUAGCAGCGCUUCAAUUAAAAGAAAUAUUUAACACAUCGAAAAGUCCACUUUCUUAGCAGAUCUAUUCGCUCUCAUCUCGUCUAAUUACCAAUUAGAAAGUUAAACUUUCCAUUAGGCAUGUAUUUGAGUCACGGGUCAACAAGAAUUGACUAUGCUCAAAUUCUAAUUUCACUAAAAAUUUCGGCAUGACCUAUUCAUAUAUAAUGUCAGCCACGAGAUUUCAACGCGUGAAUCUCACUACGUGAACUCGUCUCUCGACUCAAAACUUAACAUCUUGACAUCUUUUCAACGCAAACCAAACAAUUCAAAAUCAUCAAAACUCUUUAUCAGUAAACUAUCAUUUAUACUCGACACCAAUUGUUCGAGUGUCAGAUACCAACAUUUAUGUGCGUUAAUCAUAACUCUCACAACUCACACCAUUUAGUCAUAUCGUAUCAUCCAUCAAAACAAAUAUAAUCAAGUUGUUUUCUAGAAAGUUUUUGCUGUUUUUGUGUCAUCUUUAAAAAUUCAUAACAACCAACUCAAUCAUCAUAAACUCUCAUACCAAUUGAUCUCAAAAACUCCAUGAAGUGUAGUUCACUCUAAAAAUGGUAGUUAACCAAAAAGGUUAAAGGUUUUUGGAGAUAUUGCUCUUUUAGUGCAGGCUGUCAAAGAUUGACAGUUUCUGCCAAUUUUGUUUAGGCCAUUAGAAACCAAGGCAAACCUUAAUAAAAUUCCAUCAAAUUUAAUCAGCCAAAACUAAAGGUAUCCUUGAAGAUUUGGUUAAAAUUUCACAAGAGAAAACGUUCAUAUGAUCUGCCAAAUAAACAAUGAAACUCAUACACUUUUACUGUUGGAAAAAUAUGACAGCAGAACAGGGCAUUUUUGAAAUAAUAAACUGCUCUGUUUCAGAGGUCAUAAAAAUCGAAAUCUUAUGUUUUUAGAAAAGUAUUGAAGUCUAGUUUCGUUUAAAAAAAACGGUGAUGCAAAAUCCUUCAUGGAUUAAUAGAUAUAAACGUUUUUGUGAAGUCUACCAACAGUUGACAGAUUCUGUCAAGGUAUUUUUUUCAAAAUAUACUUUAAAAUACCAAACAUCAUCCAAAAGACAUGAAAUUUUGCAGCGACGAAAUACACAUAUCAUAGAUAAACAUACUAAAAUUUCAGAGCCAUCAAGCAAUGAAAACUCAUCGAAACAUAAGCUUGAAACUGCUAGUUAAAAUUUUGACAGAAUUCCUAGUUUUAAUUUCGUUCAACAAUUAUCAUCCAUAAAUUGUAAAUCAAUUAGCAUGCUCAUGUGAUAUCGUAGAACACAUAUACGCAAUAAUAUUCAUUAUGCAACGUCUCAAACUUCACGAAUUUAAAUAAUCAUACUCUAAAAAUUUAUACAAUUUUCGUGCUUGGAAAAAUACGAAUUUAAUAUAUAUCGAUUCUAGCAUACCCCUAAGCACAAAUAUCAAGUCAAAACGAUCAAACAAAAAUCGAAAGACAAGCUAAUAUGUGAAAAACGGGGCUGCCCUCAUGGGUUUCAUAGCUACGGUUCGUUCCGUUCUUACUCCCUUCAUUAAACAUGCUCAACAUCUACCCAAGAACAACAUACUAAAAUUUCACGACGAUCCGACGUCGUUUCAAAAUAAAGUCGAGAAUCGACGUUUUUCGACGUCGACGAAAAUCGAGAAUAAAACCAUCAAAACGUAGGUAGAGAUCUUACCUACUUAGAUACAUGAUCGAAAAGAUGAUCGGCGCUCGUCUCGGUGCUCAAAUCGGAGGUCAAAAGCUCCAACACCAAAGAAAAUGGUGUUAUGCGUGAAGUGUGUGUGUUUUAGGUGUU
rnacentral:lncRNA from 1 species